GAUGAACGCUAGCGGCAGGCUUAACACAUGCAAGUCGAGGGGUAUAGGUUUUCGGACCUAGAGACCGGCGCACGGGUGCGUAACGCGUAUGCAAUCUACCUUUUACAGAGGGAUAGCCCAGAGAAAUUUGGAUUAAUACCUCAUAGUAUUAUUGAAUGGCAUCAUUUAAUAAUUAAAGUUCCAACGGUAAAAGAUGAGCAUGCGUCCCAUUAGCUAGAUGGUAAGGUAACGGCUUACCAUGGCGACGAUGGGUAGGGGUCCUGAGAGGGAGAUCCCCCACACUGGUACUGAGACACGGACCAGACUCCUACGGGAGGCAGCAGUGAGGAAUAUUGGUCAAUGGACGCAAGUCUGAACCAGCCAUGCCGCGUGCAGGAUGACGGUCCUAUGGAUUGUAAACUGCUUUUGUACAGGAAGAAACACUGGUUCGUGAACCAGCUUGACGGUACUGUAAGAAUAAGGAUCGGCUAACUCCGUGCCAGCAGCCGCCGUAAGAC
rnacentral:rRNA from 1 species